rnacentral:lncRNA from 1 species
CGUCGGCUAAGAGUGCUCGGAGCGUCGAUUAACUCCAGUCUCCUAUCAGGUGUGUAUUUCUCACUACUCUAGCUGUAGGAUGGCUACUUCGGGCCGUGAUGGGCCGAAAGGGGUCAUGUGGGCCUAAUGGGCGUACGGGCCCAAUUGGAUAAGUUGUUUGAUUGUGUAGUAAAUAUUAGACUACGCUAGGUGAAUCUCAUAUUUGUGGCUAGGUUUGGGCUAAAAGGGCUACACGAGCGUGUGGGCCCAUUUGGGCCUAGAAUAGGCUUUAGGCCCAUUCGUAUUGUUAUCCCUGUUUAGAAUACUUUAGUUUACUAAAAUUACCGAAAUACCCAUAGUUUGUAAAAAUACUGAAAUACCUUCGAUUUGUAAAAUUACUGAAAUACCUUCGACUUGUAAAAUUACCAAAGUACCCCCAAUUUACAUAAUUAUUGUUUUACCCUCGAUUUACAUAAUUAUCGUUUUACCCCCGAUUUACAUAAUUACCAUUUUACCCUCGAUUUAUAGAAUUAUCGUUUUACCCUCGAUUUACAGAAUUAUCGUUUUACCCUCGAUUUAUAGAAUUACUGUUUUACCCUUGAUUUAAAGAAUUACUGUUUUACCCUCGAUUUACAAAAUUACUAAAAUACCCUUGGUUUGUAAAAUUACCAAAAUACCCCUAGUUUGUAAAAUUACCAAAAUAUCAUUGGUUUGUGAAAUUACCGAAAUACCCUCAAUUUGUAAAAUUACCAAAAUACCCCUGAUUUACAAAGUUACAGAAAUACCCUUGACUUUCUAAAAAUUAUGGAAAUACCAUUGGUUUACAAAAUUACUGAAAUACCCUUGGUUUGUAGAUUUACCAAGACACCCUUGUAGGAUGAAAUGACUAAAAUACCCCUAUUAGGUAAAAAGACCGUAAAGCCUCUGUAGGGUAAAGAGACCGUAAAGCCCCUGUAGGGUAAAGUGACCAUAAUACCCUAUAUGGUAAAAUGACGAAUAUGCCCUUAUGUUCUGUAUGACUGAUGUGCUUAGGAUUUACAUAUAUUGAUAUUGGAUUAGUUAAGUUUGAGUGACAGGUGGUGGUUAUCGUAGGCGAUUGAUUUUGGAAACGUUUCAACUUCAACCCGUAACAGGUGUGUACUAACCCUAGUAAUAGCUUAGAUUAAUAUUUGCUGAGAAGCUGAAAUACUAAAAUACCAGUAUUUUGGGAACUUGUAAUGUUGCGUUUGGGUAUAGAUGCGAUAAAUACGAUAAGAUUGGUGUUUGGAUCGAUGGAACAGGUAAGAACUCAAUUUUGUGCACGAUGGUAAGUUGCGCCUCAAUGGUCUGAAAUUGGGCCCAAUGGGCUUUCGGACCCAUUUGGGUAGAAUUGAUAGAAAAUGGAAUUUGGAAAAGUUGCACGUUAACACAGUUAGUAUUGUUGUAAAAUUUGGGUUAAGUAGGCUAAAUCAACAUUUGUAGGGCCCAUUAGGGGUUUUGGGCCCAAAAGCCCGAAUUUGAUAAAGUGGGUUAAAGAUCAUUGUUUAAACACUCGAAAAUAUUGAUAAUUGUAAUGAACAUGGAAAACCCUGAUAUUUGGUAAAAUUACGAAAAUACCCUUAUAAUGUGAAAAAUAACUGUUUUGCCCUUGUGGGCAAGUGAUGACUUGGACUGUGUCGUUGACGGAUUGAUUGUGAAUAUAUGUUGGUGAUAUGAAUGACUUGACUGUGAUUGUUUAUUCAAAUAUGGGCAUGACAUUCUGCAUACAUAACAUGUUGCAUUGGGUUGGGUUUUUAUAUGGAUGGAGGAAGUGCAGAAGGGCUUAUGCCCAGUUUACCGAAAAGGGCUUAUGCCCCAGUUUAUUGAAAAGGGCUUAUGCACCAGUUUACCGAAAAGGGCUUUGCCCCAGUUAUUAAAGAGGCUAGGCCUCCAGAUAUAUGAUAAAGCAGUUAUGCUACCAGUGGUGUGUUGGUUGGGUGGGUUGAGUUAUUCCCCACAUGGUGUGUUGGUUGGUACGGGUGGAGAGUAACGGAUGGUGGGUUGAGUAGUCUCCCCAAAUGGGCUUGCAUACAUUCAUUGGUAUUUCAUGUGAUAUUGAAAUGGACUUGCAUACAUCCAUUGACAUUACAUGGGAUAUUGAAAUGGGCCUAUAGGCUAUAUCGUUUACAGUAAAGGCUUCAGCCCAGUGAAAUGAUUUAUGAAAAGGCACUGGCCUAGUGAUAUGAUUUAUGAAAAGGCUUCGGCCCAGUAACCUUUAAACGAAAGGCUUCGGCCUAGUAUAUGUCAAGACUAAAUAAGGCUUUGGCCCAGAUUGUACUGAUACUGUGUUUUCACUGUUUGUUUGUUUUUGGGAUUACACACUGAGUUUUCGUAAACUCACCCCGUUUCUAACUGUGCAGGUAAUCCCUAAGCUUAGAUGGUUUGGAGCUGCGAGGGACUCGAAGAUGGCCACACUACUGUUUCUGUUUCUUUUAAUUGCAAUAAGUAGCCGAUUUAUUUCUUUAUAAGUUUUAUCUUAUUAAUAUUAUUGUUUGGUUUUGGGUUGUAAUAAGGCCAUUUUAAUUAUUU